rnacentral:rRNA from 1 species
UACAGAGGUGGCAAGCGUUGUUCGGAAUUACUGGGCGUAAAGGGCGAGUAGGUGGCCAUCUAAGUCAGACGUGAAAUCCCCCGGCUUAACCUGGGAACUGCGUCUGAUACUGGACGGCUUGAGUAUGGGAGAGGAACGUAGAAUUCCAGGUGUAGCGGUGAAAUGCGUAGAUAUCUGGAGGAACACCGGUGGCGAAGGCGGCAUCCUGGACCAACACUGACGCUGAGGAGCGAAAGCGUGGGGAGCAAACAGG